UAAGGAAUAUUGGACAAUGGAGGCACCUCUGAUCCAGCCAUGCCGCGUGAAGGAAUAAGGCCCUAUGGGUUGUAAACUUCUUUUAGACGGGACAAAACCCCUUUACGUGUAAAGGGUUGAUGGUACUGUCAGAAUAAGCAUCGGCUAACUUCGUGCCAGCAGCCUCGGUAAUACGAAGGAUGCAAGCGUUAUCCGGAAUUAUUGGGUUUAAAGUGUGCGUAGGCGGACUAAUAAGUCAGUGGUGAAAGCCUGCAGCUUAACUGCAGAAGUGCCAUUGAUGCUGUUAGUCUUGAGUACAGUUGAGGUAGGCGGAAUGUGUCAUGUAGCGGUGAAAUGCUUAGAUAUGACACAGAACACCGAUUGCGAAGGCAGCUUACUAAGCUGUAACUGACGCUGAGGCACGAAAGAGUGGGGAGCAAACA
rnacentral:rRNA from 1 species